GACGUAGGGCGCGAGCGUUGUCCGGAUUAUUGGGCGUAAAGAGCUCGUAGGCGGCUUGUCGCGUCGAAUGUGAAAACCUGCAGCUCAACUGCAGGCUUGCAUUCGAUACGGGCAGGCUAGAGUUCGGUAGGGGAGACUGGAAUUCCUGGUGUAGCGGUGAAAUGCGCAGAUAUCAGGAAGAACACCCGUGGCUAAGGCGGCUCUCUAGUACGGUACUGACGCUGAGACGCGAAAGCGUGGGGAGCGAACAGG
rnacentral:rRNA from 1 species